rnacentral:lncRNA from 1 species
UCGGCCCUUGCCCCCCGUCCAGCGUCUCCUUAGCACCAACUUUCCUGGGUUCUGCCCAAACCUCCUUGAAGAUUCCCCUUGGCUCCCUCCUGGCUGCUCCAACUCACAUGUGCUGCUUUCGAAUAAAGGAACUUGGAACCAUAGAAACUGGGUCAGGCCCAAUGGACAGAUCGGGGUAGGGCCAGUGAAAGCCGAGUUUGCAGGUCUUUCGGAAGCCACAGAGCCCUCUGCUCUCCCCUCACCCCAGCCUGACCUGGCGGUUCACUCAGCGGGAACUUGUGAUCACUAAGGCACCUCCCAGGGUCCCCGGGCAGCCUCACUGGGGUGGAUCAGGCAGGCCCAGGCACGUCAGAAGCACGGGACCCUGCCGCCUCCACCCUGAAAUUCUCUCCGCUUGUGAAGCUUGUUUUAAUUUUUAUUUUAUUUUUUUAAACCAGUCAAAUUUAGCAGUGGGGGGUUUUAUAAGCCCAUCUUCCACCUCUUUCCCCUUUGUCUCUGGUCCUCCAUUCCCAUUUCUCCCCCUUGGCUCCAGAGAGCAUCUUGUGAUUCCAGAAUCAGGGCCAAACAAUUUCCUCGUGAUGGGGAAACCGCACUCCAGCGCGGGAGCCCUAGGCUCCCCCUCCUCUUCUCUCUGGCAGUCCCCCCUCCCCAGGCUCCUCCACUGGCUCCAGCUGUGUUUUGCAAAACUCCCACUGGAUAACAUCUGUAAUUGCCUCCAGAUGUGGACCACAAAAACACAAAGGGGCCAUGAGCUCAUCUUUGAGUUCCUUGCCACCCGCACAGACCCUACCACCCUCAGAUGCCCCUGACUUCCCCUGCCACCUUAUCAAGGUCCCCAUCCCCUCCGGUAAGGGUGGUGGUGAGGUGGUGUCCAAUUCCACCGAGACACACAGACUGCCAAACAGCUGUUGGCAGGGGGAGGCGCAGGAGGCC